rnacentral:rRNA from 1 species
UCGAGAAUUUUUCUCAAUGGGGGAAACCCUGAAGGAGCGACGCCGCGUGGGGGAUGAAUGGCUUCGGCCCGUAAACCCCUGUCAUUUGCGAUCAAACCUUACGACCUAACACGUCGUGAGCUGAUAGUAGCGGAAGAGGAAGGGACGGCUAACUCUGUGCCAGCAGCCGCGGUAAUACAGAGGUCCCAAGCGUUGUUCGGAUUCACUGGGCGUAAAGGGUGCGUAGGCGGUCGGGUAAGUCUGACGUGAAAUCUUCAAGCUCAACUUGGAAACUGCGUCGGAUACUAUUCGGCUAGAGGAAUGGAGGGGAGACUGGAAUACUUGGUGUAGCAGUGAAAUGCGUAGAUAUCAAGUGGAACACCAGUGGCGAAGGCGAGUCUCUGGACAUUUCCUGACGCUGAGGCACGAAAGCCAGGGGAGCAAACG